rnacentral:rRNA from 1 species
GAAGUAAAAGUCGUAACAAGGUCUCCGUUGGUGAACCAGCGGAGGGAUCAUUACCGAGUUAUACAACUCAUCAACCCUGUGAACAUACCUAAAACGUUGCUUCGGCGGGAACAGACGGCCCUGUAACAACGGGCCGCCCCCGCCAGAGGACCCCUAACUCUGUUUUUAUAAUGUUUUUCUGAGUAAACAAGCAAAUAAAUUAAAACUUUCAACAACGGAUCUCUUGGCUCUGGCAUCGAUGAAGAACGCAGCGAAAUGCGAUAAGUAAUGUGAAUUGCAGAAUUCAGUGAAUCAUCGAAUCUUUGAACGCACAUUGCGCCCGCCAGUAUUCUGGCGGGCAUGCCUGUUCGAGCGUCAUUACAACCCUCAGGCCCCCGGGCCUGGCGUUGGGGAUCGGCAGAAGCCCCCUGUGGGCACACGCCGUCCCUCCAAUACAGUGGCGGUCCCGCCGCAGCUUCCAUUGCGUAGUAGCUAACACCUCGCAACUGGAGAGCGGCGCGGCCAUGCCGUAAAACACCCAACUUCUGAAUGUUGACCUCGAUUCAGGUAAGAAAACCCCCCCCCA